UACGUAGGGUGCGAGCGUUAAUCGGAAUUACUGGGCGUAAAGCGUGCGCAGGCGGUUUUGUAAGCCAGAUGUGAAAUCCCCGGGCUUAACCUGGGAAUGGCAUUUGGGACUGCAAGGCUCGAGUGCGGCAGAGGAGACUGGAAUUCCUGGUGUAGCAGUGAAAUGCGUAGAUAUCAGGAGGAACACCGAUGGCGAAGGCAGGUCUCUGGGCUGACACUGACGCUCAUGCACGAAAGCUGG
rnacentral:rRNA from 1 species